CCCUGUGUUGGUUGCCUAACGUGAUGGAAGUUGCCCCUCAGUGAGUCCUAAUUUGUGCCUCUCGCCAAUACGUGGUGUUAGGUUAACGUGGAAGUACUGCCCAUGCUACCUCAUUGCUUCGCCCUUUCGCGUUGCAAUUGUGGCCCACGGGUUGCUACUAGUUCACUUGGAUUGCAGAACUGUUGAAGGGAGCACAGCAUCUUGCUGUUGUUUACCCACAAAGCUUUUAUGUCUCGAUGCGUAUGACGGUUGUGCCCGCCUUGGUCUCAUCUUUAACUAACUAGUUUGGAUGGGGCUCAUGCGGUGUCAGCGUCGCGAAGGAAUGCUACGUGGUUGAUCCUGCCAGUAGUCAUAUGCUUGUCUCAA
rnacentral:misc_RNA from 1 species